rnacentral:rRNA from 1 species
UACGUAGGAUCCAAGCGUUGUCCGGAUUUACUGGGUGUAAAGGGUGCGUAGGCGGAUAGGUGCGUCAGAGGUGAAAUCUCUCGGCUUAACUGAGAGGGUGCCUUUGAUACGGCUUGUCUUGAGUGCGAGAGAGGAUGAUGGAAUUCCUGGUGUAGCGGUGAAAUGCGUAGAUAUCAGGAGGAACACCAGUGGCGAAGGCGGCCAUCUGGAUCGUAACUGACGCUGAGGCACGAAAGCGUGGGGAGCAAACAGG